AGUCGAGGGGCAGCAGGGGAGUAGCAAUACUCCCGCUGGCGACCGGCGCACGGGUGAGUAACACGUAUGCAACCUGCCCUUGUCAGGGGGAUAAGCGGAAGAAAUUCCGUCUAAUACCGCAUAAUGCUGCGGGGAGACAUCUCCCUGCAGCCAAAGAUUUAUCGGACAAGGAUGGGCAUGCGGCGCAUUAGCUGGAUGGCGGGGUAACGGCCCACCAAGGCGACGAUGCGUAGGGGUUCUGAGAGGAAGGUCCCCCACACUGGUACUGAGACACGGACCAGACUCCUACGGGAGGCAGCAGUGAGGAAUAUUGGUCAAUGGCCGGGAGGCUGAACCAGCCAAGUCGCGUGAGGGAAGACGGUCCUAUGGAUUGUAAACCUCUUUUGUCAGGGAGCAAAAACUGCCACGCGUGGCAGGAUGAGAGUACCUGAAGAAAAAGCAUCGGCUAACUCCGUGCCAGCAGCCGCGGUAAUACGGAGGUUGCGAGCGUUAUCCGGAUUUAUUGGGUUUAAAGGGUGCGUAGGCGGACAGUUAAGUCAGCGGUAAAAUUGAGAGGCUCAACCUCUUCCCGCCGUUGAAACUGAUUGUCUUGAGUGGGCGAGAAGUAUGCGGAAUGCGUGGUGUAGCGGUGAAAUGCAUAGAUAUCACGCAGAACUCCGAUUGCGAAGGCAGCAUACCGGCGCCCAACUGACGCUGAAGCACGAAAGCGUGGGUAUCGAACAGGAUUAGAUACCCUGGUAGUCCACGCAGUAAACGAUGAAUACUAAUUGUUCGGGUCAAAUGAGAUCUGAGUGAUACAGCGAAAGCGUUAAGUAUUCCACCUGGGGAGUACGCCGGCAACGGUGAAACUCAAAGGAAUUGACGGGGGCCCGCACAAGCGGAGGAACAUGUGGUUUAAUUCGAUG
rnacentral:rRNA from 1 species